rnacentral:rRNA from 1 species
AUUGAACGCUGGCGGCGUGCUUAACACAUGCAAGUCGAGCGGCAGCGGGCCCGCAAGGGUGCCGGCGAGCGGCGGACGGGUGAGCAAUACAUAGGAAUCUGCCUCAGAGCGGGGGAUAGCCAGGGGAAACCCUGAUUAAUACCGCAUGACGUCGAGAGACCAAAGUGGGGGACCGUAAGGCCCCACACUCUGAGAUGAGCCUAUGUCGGAUUAGCUAGNGGCGGGGUAACGGCCCACCAAGGCGACGAUCCGUAGCUGGUCUGAGAGGACGAUCAGCCACACCGGAACUGAGACACGGUCCGGACUCCUACGGGAGGCAGCAGUGGGGAAUAUUGGACAAUGGGCGAAAGCCUGAUCCAGCGACGCCGCGUGGGUGAAGAAGGCCU